rnacentral:lncRNA from 7 species
ACUGGUGCUGUGGCUGAGCACUGACCACAGCUGCACGCAUUUAUGCACCCGGAGAUGAUAUCAGGCAUUCCAAGGGCACAGCUUUCAAAAUGUUGUCCGGCCCUCCGCGUGGCUUCUGGUUGAUGUGCCAUUCAUUAUCCAGCGCUGCGAGACCCGGGCAAAGCAGAUGAGCUAAGUUAUGGAUCCAUCACCAACUUCUGAUGUCAGCAGAUGGGUCUGAGCCUCUCCUGUGGGUGUGCAACACUAAAAAGGAUGGCAGCAACCUGCUGUCCCCCCAUGGCACGCGAGCCAGUCAUGGGCCAAUGCCAUCCCAUGAACAUCUGAAGAUGCUUUUCCACUUUCAUCCAUUUUUUUCAGCAACUUUCUUCAUUACUCAGCCUUUCUUUAAUAGAGUUCAUCUUCUUUGAUCCUUGCAUUUUUUUUCUCCCCAUUGCUCUGAGAGUUUCUUUAAGAAAUCAAGGUGACCGAAGCACCUCUCCCCACGACGGUGCAAUGCAGCACUGCUAAAUGAGGCUCCUUCCAAACCUUUAGGAAUGUCAAAUGUGACCCCGCCAUGAAAAUGCAAGAAGUGUCAUCUGUUCUAAAAAGCAAGACAGUAAAAGUCUGUAAUUUAUAAGGCUGAGUACAAAGGACUGUUUUUCCUUUGAGCUAAUUAGCUGGAAGAAGAGCAUAACUAAUUAACUGGGGAGACACACCGGGAAGCACAGGGCUGAGGAAGCCCUGAGAUGGGCUCACACCGCUCCCAGGGGCGUUCAGUUGGCUCUCCACUGCCCCUCCUCCAUCCAUCGGGCAUCCAUUAAAAGCCACGUGUGGAGGAAUGGCCUUUAAAAUAAGCAACCAGUGUGCACACCUUGAUAAGAGCUACAGAAUUAAUCACAGGGAAGGACUAUUUAAUGGAGAAGAUGGUACCUGUGAUGGCUACCUAGAAAAAAAGCUAUCCAGUACAAAGCUGCCCAGGAAUUCUCCAGGCUGGUGCAGCCUCUUGCUGGAUUCCUUGAUCUGCUUGGAGCAGAAAAAUCCCUGUUGUAAAAGAAAAUUACCCUGAAGAAAGAAUUCUGUUCUGCACAUUCCAGCAUGCAGUGCCUGGGAUCUUCGCUGGGCACUGCAGGGCAGCCUGACCUCAGCACCCAGCAGCUCUGCAGUGCUGUUCUUCUUGGACAGUUCUGUCUCUGGGCCUUCAUCCACCCUUCAUCCACCCCGAUCCCGUGAUCUGCCAGGUGUCUGUCGGCCCAUUAUCCUUACAGUGACAAAUUCUAAGUUCCUUGGAAUCCUCCUCUGAUGCUUCUAUCUUCCUCUCCUCCCCGGUGUGGCACAGCUUGAUCACACCCCACGCUCCACGCUGAGCUCAGCAUUCAUCGGCAUUUCUCCCUUACACUCCGUAAUGAAUGACUCCUUCAAUAAUGUUUUGCUGCCCAGCGCAGGCACUGGGUGUCAGCUGCCAUAAAAGUUAGAGAAAACAAUACGUGGCACAAACAUAUCUCAUUAUUUCAUGCUAGCUGCAGCAAUUAUUUUCUCUGUAGCAUUGCAAAGAGUCCCAUAAAUUACAGUUAUCGCCCAUCUGAUCUGCUUCCGAGUGUCUUCUGGCCCUGCUUCCAGUUGCAAACUGUCAGCAGCAGAGUGCUGGAAGUUAAUGUUUGCAGACAGAUCCUGAGAUGCCCGGGAGCAAUGCUGAGGCAGAAGCGCUGCUUGGCUGGGGACGGCUCUCCAUCCCUGCAAGCACGCAGCAGCAUUAACACCUACACCGUGAUGAGGGCUGUGCUCCUGGGGUCAGCUCUUGGUCAGCCCUGCCUGGCACACAAUGGUGGGCCAUGCUGAAAAGCACUGAGCACGCCUGGGCUGCUUCUGCAUUGCACUUCAAUGAGGGAGCUCCAGGACUGCAGAGAAUGCCCUCCAACCACUAGCCGGCAUUUGGGCCCUGGGACCAGCACAGACCUGAGGAGCCCACCAGGUGUGCUGCCUUCUCCUUUUAAUUCCCACAGCAGAGCAAAGUGAAUGAUAAACAUCACUGAUAUGAGAGCGGGGAAAAGACCUUUUAGACCAUCCCAGUCUUCCCCCAGGGAUACAGGCGGGUAGGACUCCCACAGAACGUUUGCUGUGCUUUAAUCAGUUCAAUUUUCAUACUGAGGGUCACAGAGGAUUAGACAAGAAGGAUAAGGCUGGGGAAUCAGCUCAUCCUUUGUUAUUAUCAGCAAAAACUCUGCUCUUGGUUAAACCAGUGGGAAACGUAAGUAUUUUGCUGAAUGCUGGAUAAUUCAGAGCCCUUACACAGAGAGAUAGCAAAGAGGUUCCCGAGCCUGACACGCUUGUUUUAGUGUGAUAUUGGUGCUCCAAGUAAGAGGGUCUGAUCAUUAUGUGCCUUCUGCAAAGUGACUGUCACCACACGGUCCCCCUGCCAUGCAAGCAGCUGUCCUUGUCCCAGAAAGGUCAUUAAAAUCACUGUGGGAUGGACCACGGGUAGCACGGCCAAAGAUAACGACAGGAUUUAGAACC